GACGAACGCUGGCGGCGUGCCUAAUACAUGCAAGUCGAGCGAGUCUGCCUUGAAGAUCGGAGUGCUUGCACUCUGUGAAACAAGAUACAGGCUAGCGGCGGACGGGUGAGUAACACGUGGGUAACCUGCCCAAGAGAUCGGGAUAACACCUGGAAACAGAUGCUAAUACCGGAUAACAACAGAUGAUGCCCAUCAACUGUUUAAAAGAUGGUUCUGCUAUCACUCUUGGAUGGACCUGCGGUGCAUUAGCUAGUUGGUAGGGUAACGGCCUACCAAGGCGAUGAUGCAUAGCCGAGUUGAGAGACUGAUCGGCCACAUUGGGACUGAGACACGGCCCAAACUCCUACGGGAGGCAGCAGUAGGGAAUCUUCCACAAUGGACGCAAGUCUGAUGGAGCAACGCCGCGUGAGUGAAGAAGGGUUUCGGCUCGUAAAGCUCUGUUGUUGGUGAAGAAGGACAGGGGUAGUAACUGACCUUUGUUUGACGGUAAUCAAUUAGAAAGUCACGGCUAACUACGUG
rnacentral:rRNA from 1 species